rnacentral:antisense_RNA from 1 species
ACGUCACUUCCGGAAGCGACUCGCGCAGGCGCCGUCCGCCCUCGUUGCCAUGGAGACGCUUGCGCUUUCCCGGGCCGCACUUCCCACCCGCGUCUUCAGAAGCCCGUGGCCGCUGGGUGACCCCUGCGUGAACGCACACGCACGCACACGGCUUCAGGUUGCCCCGCGGCGCCGCGCGCGAUAUCGGCUCGGAUCCCGGGAGGCCGUCCGCCCCUUUUUCAGCGGAUAGCUGAGGCCAGCUACAAUGAAGACACAGGUAAAAUAAUGAAGAUGUCAGCCUCUCUACUCCCAGAUGUGGACCAAAGACACAGAGUGUUAAUUUGAAGUGGAUUCUGUAUAAUCUGGGGAGUAGUUCCCCCCAUACCAUCAUAUGCCACAGGGGGAAACAUGAAGAUGUAUAACUUGGAUAUUACUUUGUAGACUAAUUAUCUCCAAAACGCAUAGAUGGCAGCUAGGACUCGAGACAAAAGGACUCCCUGGGAAGAAGCGAAAGCAGGUUCUUCACUGAGCACAUUGUUUGG